AUGGCUUUCAGCAGGAGCAUGGUCCUGAUUACCAUGAGACUUUUGCUCCUGCAAAACCGUAUGCUUGUGGCCUCUGUUCGCCACUGGUUCGUGUCUAGGCUUGAUGUUAAGACUGUCUUUCUUAAUAGUGAGCUAUGUGAGGAGGUUUACACACAACCACCACCUGGGUAUUCUACUCCUUACGACAUGCUUAGUCGUCUUCAUCGCUCUCUCUAUAGCUUUAAGCAAGCCUCCCGUGCCUGGUUUGAGCGUUUUGCCUCUAUGGUGGAUGUUGCUGGUUUUCAGCGAGUGCUCAAGAUCCGACGUUGUUUGCCCUUCUUUCUGCUCUUGGUAGGACUCUUCUUCAUGUUGAUGACAUGGAUCAUCACCGAAGCAGACCGUGAGUAUAUUGCCUUUGUGAAGGCAUGCUAUGCAGUUUCUUAUGUCUUAUCUUGGUCCUCUCUGCUACUUUUUUGGGAUUGA
rnacentral:rRNA from 1 species